CUUUGUGUUAGAAGUUCGGCUGCAACUUUUAAAAGGGGGUGAAAUGAAGACUGCACCUUAACUGAACUCCCGCCGUCCUCUGUUGAGUUUCUUUUCACCUUUCUCUGCACCACAUGUGAGGUCCUGUUCCUCCUGCACCAGUGCCGCUGCGACAGCUUUUCUGUGCAUAUGCGGAUGCAGCAUUUGUAAAAUGUUUCUCUCGAGAACUGACACCGGCGCCGACUUGUUGUGACGACGGGAAACAAUUAAACUGUCUUGCGGCGGUGGUUUUCCAAAUGGUCCUUCUGACGCGCCGCCUUCAUAACUCUUGUUCUUAAACUGACUUGGACACACUCGGAUGGUAAUUUGCUGCUGGAUAAAAAGCUCUAAAUCACUCAGUAGAGCCGCAGACGCUGACAGGUGGCAGCGACUUAAAAGCCUGUGAAGGAAUACCUGCUUCUCCUCAGUGGAGAUUCCCCUCCAUGUUGUGUGUUUGAUUGAAUUGCGAGGACUUCUCACCGUCACUGCUGUGGGGCUAAACACGGAGCGUUGGUGCCAGGGAUAAGGAUGGCAAGCCAGAGGACAAAAUGGUGGAUUUUGGGCCACAGAAGAGAAGUGCGCUGAGGUUGGAUUGCUGUUUUGUACAACUUGCAGUCCCGGCUCAUCCUCGAUGGCUGCCACAUCCUGAUUCAUAUUUACGCCCAGAACACAUUUACUUUCUGUACGGACUUGUAAUUUUUAUAAAAUCACUUAGUUCGUUUAUUGUUUUGAGGAACUUGUCUUUUCAAGUGCACUAACACAAUGUAGUACUGUGAUUCUUUGUGAUUUUUUAUUAUACACACCAAGUAUGUACUACAAUUUGGGUACAAUUAUCCAUCAUGCCAAGUUUGUACAUGUGAAAGGUGCACAUAAACUUUAUUAAUGUCUUCAUUUACAUUUACAUUCAACUUUUGUAUGUCUUGUCUUUUUACCACGCUUCUUUUGAUCUAGCUGCUCAAAUGUGUGGAUUUCCCCGGUGAGAGAUGAAUAAAUCUUAGCUUAAAUUACCUUAACUUGACUUAAAUUAUCUUAAGAGGUUAUCAUAACUUGUCUCAACUUAAGUUAUCUU